AAUUAAAGUAUUAGUAAUUUAUUUUUGUUACUAAAAUUAAAGUUAGCUGCAUAUAAAUUUUUUUAGUACUAAACUGCUUUGGAAUGAAUUUUUUGGUGGGACAACAGCAGGAUUAGAGCCAUCUUCUAGAUGCCAUCAGGUAGGUGCGCUAGCGUAGUCGUUUGUUGUAGCAUUAUAUCCCUUUUCCCCCUUUUUCAAAAAUGUUUGUAAGACGCCUGAAAUUUGUAUAAAUUAGUUAUAUAAGUGGUUGAAUAAGAAUUGGUGAGAGUUGGAAAAUAGAAGAGGACAGAGAAGAUGGAAGAGGAUUGCUUUGAAAUAGAAGGAAAGGAGAUAGAAGAUGUUUGAGGAAAGGAGGAGGAUUUUGUUCGCUGUAACAGAAGUUUUUUGAAUGAAAUUUGGAGCAACUGUAUUAAGAUGUUAUUGGUAUCUUGGACAUCAAGUUUCAUUUAUUUAUGUAUUAUACAAGCAUAUCUAUUGGUGGAAAUGUAGAAUGGCAGCUGUUAUAACAACUUGGAUGAAUUAUUAGAAACACCAAAGAAGUUUUGACAUAAUUUAAACUGCGAAAAGGCUCACAAAUGACCAAUUUAUUGUACAGUAGAUACAGGACAUUAAAUUGACUUCAACAACGCAGAUAUCUCUCAAAAAUGAUAUCUGUUCGAGUGAUGUACUGGGCGUUAAUAGUUGCUGUUACAAAACUUCAAAUGAUUUACUACUGUACAUAAGUUGGAGGAAUGCCAAGGAAUUUUUUGAAUAAAGUGAUACUGAAAAUCUUACUCACAAAUGACAAUUUUAAGAUACAAUCAAUAGUAUUUGGAUUGAUUGGCCUUCAUUACCGUUGCGCUAUGAAAAUGUAAGCAAUACAAAUUGGUAUUAAUGGACGUUUUGACAGCUGUUUCCAGUCCAAGUUCCAGUUUUAAUGGAAAAUCUUUAAUGGACACAGAAAAAUGCCAUUUACUGGUUGACUUCAACACCUGUUGUCUUUUAAUAAUGGUAUACAAUGGGACAAUUGGUGUUAGAAGUCAACAAGUAGUACUAGUUGCAAAUAAUAUAUUAUGGCGGACAUCAAAAAACUUUAAAUGGAAUGAAAGUUGCAGAAAAAGACUCAGAGGACUGUACUUAAUAGCUGUUAGAGUGGAUGCAGUCCUUCAUCAAUGUGAGCUGAAGAAAUUGAUGGUAAUGGACAUUUUGACAGCUACUGUCACAACUCAACGAACAAGUUGCAGCUUUGAAGGAAAAUUUUUGAUUGGAUACAGAAAAAUGUCAGUCGUUUCAGGAUGUAAAGUUAAUAGAACCAGGGUUGGGCUCGACAUCUGUUGCCUUUUAAUAAUGGCAUACGAUAGGACAAUGGCUAUUAGAAACCGAUAAGACAUACCAGCUGCAAAUAAUAUGUAUGAUGGUCAUAAAAGUGAUUUAAAUGAAAUGAGAAACUCUUGUGCAGAAGAAAUCAAGGAAAACCAUUUUCAACUGCUGUUACUUAAUAGCUGUUAGAGGAGAUCCAGUUCUUCAUCAAUGUUAUACGCUGGGACAAUUGCUGUUAAAAAUCCACAAGCCGUACUACCUGUAAAUAUUAUGGUGGACAUGAAAAAGCUUUAAAUGGAAUGUAACUUGCAAGAAAAGACUUAGAAAGACCAUUUAGGACUGUACUUAAUAGCUGUUGAAAAGUGGUCGCAGUCUUUUAUUAAUGAUAUCUCUGCAUUUUCUUAACAAUGGAUAUCCCCAACAGUUACUCCUACUCCUCACUUUCCUCUUUCACUCGACAUAAAGCAGACUCAAUACUCCUCAAUGCCUCACCAAGGUUCGUUAGCUUCAUUAAUAUUGUUAUUGUUUCAAUAAAUUUGUUUAUUGGUUUUUAUCCUCUUACUAUAUAAUUAUAUCAGGCGUCAUUUUAAUGUUAAUUUUUUGUAAAAUUUUGAUAAUCUGGAUAGAAACCUUUUUUUUUCUUAAGCUUUUGCAAUAUAAAACACUAGUUCAGAGCAAUACACUUUAUUUUAUGAAUAAGACCAUUAUCCCUGUUGAUAUUGUCUUUAUAUUUAUGCCUUGUGUUGCCUCUAGUUUGAGGGAUGUUUGAUUAAUUUUAAAUCAUUCAAAUCAAUGCAAUCAUCUUUAUGGAGGAUAUGUUUAGCAACAUAACACUAAUCUGUUAUAAUUUUUCAUUUCAAGCUUUUUUUCAAUCUCACCUGUCUUAUAUUUAUACUUCCUUUAAUUCAAUCAUUAAAUUGUUGUUAAAUAAAACUAUAUUGUAUUCUGGAUUUCGUCAAAGGUAUUUUUUAAAAGAAUUAAAAAACAAUCUUUAUAGGCUUCUAUCAUUUCUAAUUUAUUUUUAUCUUGUAUUAUUUAUAUUUUCCUAAGCUUCUCUAAGUUUAUUCCAGAUUAUCAAAAUUAUAAUUUUUGUACUUGCGCAGCUGCGUCACUAUAGCCCUAUGAACACAAGUAUUAUUUUAGUUUUAAAGUUUACGUUUUUUAAUAUUUCAUUUAUUGUAUUAACGCAAAACUAAAUUUUAUAGAAUUUAACUAACUAUAUCUCCAACCGGAUGAUUAAUUUAAUAGUUAACGGUAAAUUUAAUAUUUUUUCAUAAAAAUUAAAUGUGAUUAUUCAAUAUCAAUGUCAAGCCAGUAGAAAUGAUUUAUUAGUGUUUAUUUUUUUUUACUAAAUCAAUUUUGAAUACUUGUGUUCAUAUAUUUUUUUUUGAGUUCCCUAACAUAGAUGUUUUUAAUCAAUUUAUAUGAUUUUAAAACAUAUAAUAUGUUUAUGUCUAUUUUGUACUUAAAUUUUAGUGAUAAAGUUUGUUUCUUUAACACAGAGAGCAAUGCACUUCAUGCAUUGCUUUUUUUUAUGUGCAGAAUUCUCUAUAUACAAUAUGUCCUCAGAACGUCUUUACAAGAGCAAAAGAUUUUUUUAUUAACAUUUUCAUAAUAUAUACGUUCCUUAUAAAAAUAAUUUUCUUUUUAAUAUUUUCAUUUCAAUUUUUUUAACAAAUAUAUUGUGAGCACACAUUUUAAAAUUAUUUUUCGUAGAUAUACUGUGCGAUUCAAGUAUAUUUAUACUAAAAUUGAAUGCAAUGUUUUUUAAUGCAUGUACUAGUUAAUAUACCACUGUAAUCCAAUCAAAAUUGCAUAUUUAAAUUAAUUAUUUUAGAAGAGUUCAAUUGAAAAUAAAUACAUGAAUUUUAACCUUUAGUAUUACUGGUUGCCUAAUCGAUUCAUAUGUUUUGCUUAUUUAAUGUUGUGAUAUAGUCUAUAAAAUGAAUAACUUUGAAUUUUGACCGUUAUUUUUUACCAACAUGGCAAA
rnacentral:misc_RNA from 1 species